rnacentral:rRNA from 1 species
AUUGAACGCUGGCGGCAGGCUUAACACAUGCAAGUCGAACGAGCGGCGGACGGGUGAGUAAUGUUUGGGAAUCUACCUUAUGGAGGGGGAUAACUACUGGAAACUGUAGCUAAUACCGCAUACCAUCAGAUGUGCCCAGAUGGGAUUAGCUAGUUGGUGGGGUAAAGGCUCACCAAGGCGACGAUCCCUAGCUGGUCUGAGAGGAUGACCAGCCACACUGGAACUGAGACACGGCCCAGACUCCUACGGGAGGCAGCAGUGGGGAAUAUUGCACAAUGGGGGCAACCCUGACGCAGCCAGGCCGCGUGAAUGAAGAAGGCCUUCGGGUUGUAAAGUACUUUCGGUGGGGAGGCGUUAACUGCAGAAGAAGCACCGGCUAACUCCGUGCCAGCAGCCGCGGUAAUAC